GUCGAGCGAUUCUCUUCGGAGAAGAGCGGCGGACGGGUGAGUAACGCGUGGGUAACCUGCCCUAUACACACGGAUAACAUACCGAAAGGUAUGCUAAUACGGGAUAACAUAAGAGAUUCGCAUGGAUUUCUUAUCAAAGCUGCGGCGGUAUAGGAUGGACCCGCGUCUGAUUAGCUAGUUGGUGAGGUAACGGCUUACCAAGGCGGCGAUCAGUAGCCGACCUGAGAGGGUGAUCGGCCACAUUGGAACUGAGACACGGUCCAAACUCCUACGGGAGGCAGCAGUGGGGAAUAUUGCACAAUGGGCGAAAGCCUGAUGCAGCAACGCCGCGUGAGCGAUGAAGGUCUUCGGGUCGUAAAGCUCUGUCCUCAAGGAAGAUAAUGACGGUACUUGAGGAGGAAGCCCCGGCUAACUACGUGCCAGCAGCCGCGGUAAUACGUAGGGGGCUAGCGUUAUCCGGAAUUACUGGGCGUAAAGGGUGCGUAGGUGGUUUCUUAAGUCAGAGGUGAAAGGCUACGGCUCAACCGUAGUAAGCCUUUGAAACUGAGAAACUUGAGUGCAGGAGAGGAGAGUAGAAUUCCUAGUGUAGCGGUGAAAUGCGUAGAUAUUAGGAGGAAUACCAGUUGCGAAGGCGGCUCUCUGGACUGUAACUGACACUGAGGCACGAAAGCGUGGGGAGCAAACAGGAUUA
rnacentral:rRNA from 1 species